AAGGGGGGCGGUGGGAUCCAACGGAAGGCAUGGUGGCUAUUCCUGUUCCUAUUUUUUAUUGACAGUUGCCGAUCUGCUUUGUUUCUUGUGUGCAUCAUGGAUGUCUGAAAUGUAUUUCUACACCGUUCCUCUCCGUUGAUGUCUGAAAUCUACUUGUGAUCCGUUCAUGCUGCUGCUCUCAUUUGUAUCACCGCCUGGUGAAGCUGCAUGGUUGUUGGUGUUUUAAGGAUUGUGUUCUCUUUCUUUGACUAUGCUUGCUUAUGUUUUUGCUUUGUAAGUAACUUGCAAAAUUGUUCUUUCACUGUCUCGAUUUUGAUGUAAUUGUUUUGGUAAAUUUUGUAUUUCUGAAGUACUCCCGUGGUAUUCUAAAAAAAUGUGAGCAAACAUUAGAGAGAAUUUCUUGUGUAUGGCACCAGAGAAAUUAUUUAACAAAAAUAAGUACCUCUGGUUCACAUGAUAUCAAGCAAGUAUGGUAGCCAGACAAUUUUCUCACGAUCUUCUCUUAAACUAGAGCAGGUAGCUACUUAUGUGCGUAUAUACACUUGAUUGCUUAUCCUCAACAUGAAUUUGGGAUCAUAGAAUCUGACUACCUUGUAGCUUCUAAACCUGUUUAACUGUACUGAUCAUAAUGCGAAAGAAAAUAUACUUUUGCUCAUGUAGAGAUCAUAUAACCUUUGUAAUGAUUUACUUUUUUCCAAAGGAGAUUCUUUUGUUGGAAAUUAUGUUCAGUUUUCCGACUCUUAUAUAUACUAAUUCUCUAACCAUUUCGCUGAACGUCUACUGAUGUUCAAGAUAUUAAAGGGAAGUGCCUUACGCCUUGAUACUGAAUGAAAAUUAGAGCUGCACCACAUGUUGGGGUUCAUAGUCCUUGUGGAAGUACUUAAUUGCUGAUACAGGCUUUUAUAUUUGAAUAUGUGCUACUUGUGCAACAAUAGAUGUGGUAAACUUCAUAUUCCUAUGGCCGCAAUAUCUCAAAAAACAUUCUGCAGUUCGUUUGGUUUGUGGCAAUGUAAGCACUCUUUAGUUUCUUCCAAGUUUUUUCUAAUGUUUGAAUCAUCAAAGUUUUGAACCUUUAGUAGAAACUUACCAAUUAACUUCUGAAUUAACUGAAUUUUGAAUUUAACUGUACAUGUCUUCAUGUGCAUCAUCGGAAUUAUUUAGCAGUUAUGUACAUUAUUAUUAUAUUUUCGUUCUUUCAAUAUUAGAAGCUUCAGUUCAAAAUUUCUGUAGUUCAGGAGUAGCUAGAUCCUGUGUGUCGGUGUAAUGAAACAUUUUAUGAAUUUUCUUUCUUCUGUGAGAUUGGUCAGUGGGUCGAAUUGGCGAGCAGCGUGGCAGGUGGUGGCUGCGUGCACCGCUUGGGUGUCAUCGACAUCUUAUUGAGUGGUUGGGCGGCCUCAGAACUUGUGCGGGCGGAGCACGCUGGUGGGCUUCGAUGUACGGACCAUAGAUUUACUCUGAUGACCAAUACAACCUUCAUGUCCGAUACAAGAAGAAUUUUGUGACGCACAAAUUUGGUUAGCCUAGAACAGAAGAAACAAAUGGGAACCUAGGAAAUUUAUAGUUGAAGCAAAAUAAAAUCAGGUACAGUGAUCAAGUGGAUGGACAACAUACUAUAUUUUGACACAACCAUCCAGAAGUAAAACGAUACUAUCAAUAAAGCGGAUGUGCCACAUGAGAUCA